rnacentral:lncRNA from 1 species
GAUAGAAUCUACCAAUCUUGGUAGAAAGAAGUAGUUCUAUAGAAUUUGAAAAGCUAAGUCUGAGAAUCUGUGACCACAGUAGUAUGAUUGAUUGAAAAGAGUUUUCAUAGAAGUUACAACUGGAUUUGAGCUAAUUGAAUCUAUCAUAUGACUGAAGUUGAGGUUUGACGAUUUAUCUAUGAUCUAUCAUCUAGUCAGGACUCACGAU